rfam:Picea glauca, whole genome shotgun sequence.
GUACAUGACUAUAGCGUUAAUGCACUGGAUCCCAUUAUAACUCCACAAUUAAUCAUGCUUGGAUAGAGUAAUACUAGGAUGGGUGGACACCCAUAGGGAAGUCCUAGUGUUUUAAAUG